UCAAAAUCAGCAUAUCCGUAUAAAUUUAAAACUAAUAGCACUUGUUACAAAAUGAAAUUUACUGUGGCAUUUUGCGGUUUAUUGAUGUUUAUGAUAGCAUGCAUAGCUCAAGACGACGAACCCACGGAAAUUACUACUGAAUCUGGCGCAGCUCUCGAGUGUGAUUUUUGUUUUAAGGAGUGUGAUGACCCUCCUAAAACUGUGACAUGUAAAGAGUCAGAGGAUGUGUGCAAAGUGCAAGAAUCGUUGAAACCUAGGGGAAAAGGAGGUGUGCGAAUAGAUAGAGGCUGCGCGAAGUCCGCUGGUUCGGAAAAGGAGUGUAAAAAUACUACCGAUGGUCGACAAAGGUGUGUGAUAUGUUUUACCAGCAAGUGCAAUUCGGUGCGAUUAUACAAUACAAGUGGUUCAGUACGAAUGAAUUCGUCGUAUUGGGUUAUGUGUUUUGUAGUUUUCUGGUAUGGUUUAAUAAUAAUAUGAACAUUAAUUUCAUUCGAA